UUCUUACAUAUGCAUAUCAAGUUAGACUACACAUGUUAUUUUAACUCCUUAAAAAAAGAAGUUAAUGAUUUUAAAAUAAAUGAUGGAUUAUCUAAAUUAAAGAUCCAACCUAAUGAACAUGACCUACACUACAACAAGUGCCUAGAAACCAAAAUUAUUUGGUAGUCUCUAACCUAGCAUCAAGUUGGUACAAAAAUGAAUGGUAUCAAUUGUGCUAGUAUUGCAAAAUACAUGAUAGGGCACAUAACAUAAAAACCCACAUUAUGGAUCAUGAUCUACAAAUCUGAGAACAUGGGUAGAUUUAAAUUCACUAGGUUUUGAUGAUUAAAUCAUAAUAAAGCACAAUAUCAUGCAAGUAAAAUCACCCAUUUAGACACGUACUUGAUGGUUCUGUUAGAGACCAUGAAAAACCAUGAAUUUUGGUUUCUAGGCAUAUUUUAGUGUAGACCAUGUUCAACAGUUUGGAUCUUGAAACAAAUACUAAAUGAUUGAUUUUUAACCAGUAACUCCUUUUAUAAAGAGUUAAGGUGUGGAAUCCACCUCUAUGCAUAUUUGACAAUCUGCAAUACUGAUGUCCAAAUAAUGGACCCAGUAUUUCCAAGAAACCACAUAUGCUCAAUGCCAAAAACCCUAUGCAAAAAAAAAAUCUUGAAAAUAUAAGACUUCACGAUGUGUAUAGCUUUUCCCCCCAAAACCUGGAUACUAAUUACCCAAAUUAUGGGCCAAAUAUUUUCAAGAAAAAAAGCUCUCUGCCUGACUCCUCUUCUCCCUUGUGCGCAUCCAUCAUUACCAAUUCAAGGCAGCCUUUUCCUCCAAUCUAGGAUUUCCCAGUUUUCCCUCGAAAGAAGAAAGACUACCACGAUCAACAUGAAUUAGGUUUAAUGCCUUUCUUCCCACCCAAGAGCAACCAUAAUGAGAAAAUCCUACAUAAAGAUUAGUGUUCUGUCAAAGGCAGGGCAACAACUUGACUUCCCAAGCUAAUAUCUAGGAAGGUGUCUAGGUACCUAAUAACUGCGUGGUGCUCUAGUUGUCACAUUUAUUCUUUAUGUAUUGUUUGUUGUUUUUCAGAAAAACUACAAAUAUAUUCUCCUUUAUUGAUAGAUAUGCUUUCCACAGCCUGGAGAAUAUAACUUAAAUAGUUGGUGACCUUGUUUCUGAUACACUUUCCACAAACUCAAUAUAUGUUUGUAAUUAUUUAAAUCUAUCUAGAAGUGAGGUUUAAGUUGCAAUAUCUGUAUAUAGAUUUAAUAAAUUAUCAGCCAAUUUUUAAUUUAGCAUCCUACUUAGGCCUUUGAAAGGUUACUGUCAAGGAUCUCCUAGACAGAUAAAAUCAUCACUCAGUAUCUAGCGCUUCACACUACAAAUUUAAUGUUAGACAAUAAACAGAGAGCACAAGCAUAUCAAAAUAAGGAUAUACAAACUGUGUAGGCUCUAAAGGUUUCAUAGCCUAAGACCAGAGUAGCCAGUCUGACAACAUUGAUCAUUAGACUGGCCCCUCAUGUUGUACGGAUCAAAAUGUUAGGCAAUGAAUAAGGUGAUCUAACAUCAGCUAGAAAUGGUCUUGAUAAAGAGACGUACAGGAUGGAUGUCAACAUGCCAUGACAAGUAAAACAAACAUGCUUCCUGAUUAGAAAUUUAGGUGUUGGAUAUAGAUAAUCGUGAAAUAAGACCUCUGAAGCAAGCCAUAAAGAUGGUACCAGCCCUGUUUCAUGUUAUAUCAAGUAGGGAGAGAACCUUGGCCAUUAAACACCAAGUUAAAAAUAAUAUAUGAGCAACAUGAACAUAAUCAAUAAUGCUUGUCUCGUAAUACAUUAGUCCCAGCUUUGUAGAUUAAAAUAGUUUCCAAAUUGUAGGUGUGCAAUCCUUUUAUCGAUAUUCUCAUCCAAGUCUUCUUUAGCCAACUCUAUAUUCACCAGUUGCCUAAGCACUACAUGGUUAACAAUUUAGUAAUCCAGCAGGCUGUGUUACCUGACAAAAAGCAAGCUAGAGAAGAUUUUGUUGUCCAUGUUGUGUGUAUAUAUAUAUAUACCAAGACUAAGUUUACACCUUUGUGAUCAACAAUAUACCAACAAAAUAACUUCAAAAGUUUUAAAGAGCUAAAUUUCAUGAACAAGCAAGCAUAGUGCAGAAAAGGUUUAAUGGGCACCAAAAAUAAUACAGUGCUAGUGCAUAUCCUGAAUUUUGAGGUUGAUGAUCAACUGGAAUUCUGAUAGCAGGUUCAGCACUACACCUAUGCAAACCUUCACCACUGUCCACAGUGUAAAAGAAUUAAAGUUUGACAUCUAUAUUAGGGUUGCAAAGCCAUAUAUCAAUGCAGCUCUAAUAUUUGCAAGUGAAAUUGUGAUGAUUCUAUUGAUUUCAUAGAACAUUCAAUAUAGAACCAAUAGUAGAUGGAAAACACCCACAAUUCUAGCAAUAUGCCGUAGAUACAAAAGGCAAGAUCCAUCACAAUUUGUCUUCACACUAGUGGGAAUAAGGAUGUCCAUGAAAUAUACAUGUAGCUCAAGGAUAAGAAGAUAUUUUACAGUCAUCUAUCCUAAACCUCGUACAUAUUUUAAUUAUAAAUGCAGAUGAACAUCUGAACCAACAAAAGAAGUAAGACUGCAAGUUCUCUUCCUCCUAAAUCCCAAAUUUGUAAUGAGUAUCAUAGUCCCAACAACCACCUUUCUGAUCCUCCUUAUUUUGACCCAUUAUAUUUAUAAUAUAUUAAAUUGACAAGAAAGAGAAAGCUCUCCUCUCUCCAAAAAUCAGAAAAAUUGUGAAGAAAAUCAAAGAAAAAGCAGCCAAGUUGACUGCCAAGUGGUGCACGAUGUAUCCAAGCUUUGAUACAACAAAGGAGAGUAAUAAAUUAUUUACAAUAUUAAAUUAAAUGCAAGCUUUAAACCUAUGUGGUGCACGAUGUAUCC
rnacentral:lncRNA from 1 species